rnacentral:rRNA from 1 species
UGGGGAAUUUUGGACAAUGGGGAACCCUGAUCCAGCCAUCCCGCGUGUGCGAUGAAGGCCUUCGGGUUGUAAAGCACUUUUGGCAGGAAAGAAACGUCGCGGGUUAAUACCCCGCGAAACUGACGGUACCUGCAGAAUAAGCACCGGCUAACUACGUGCCAGCAGCCGCGGUAAUACGUAGGGUGCAAGCGUUAAUCGGAAUUACUGGGCGUAAAGCGUGCGCAGGCGGUUCGGAAAGAAAGAUGUGAAAUCCCAGAGCUUAACUUUGGAACUGCAUUUUUAACUACCGGGCUAGAGUGUGUCAGAGGGAGGUGGAAUUCCGCGUGUAGCAGUGAAAUGCGUAGAUAUGCGGAGGAACACCGAUGGCGAAGGCAGCCUCCUGGGAUAACACUGACGCUCAUGCACGAAAGCGUGGGGAGCAAACAGGAUUAGAUACCCUGGUAGUCCACGCCCUAAACGAUGUCAACUAGCUGUUGGGGCCUUCGGGCCUUGGUAGCGCAGCUAACGCGUGAAGUUGACCGCCUGGGGAGUACGGUCGCAAGAUUAAAACUCAAAUGAAUUGACGGGGUCG